GUGGGGAAUCUUCCGCAAUGGGCGAAAGCCUGACGGAGCAACGCCGCGUGAGUGAUGAAGGCCUUCGGGCUGUAAAACUCUGUUGUCAGGGACGAAGGUGCAUCUUUCGAACAGAUGGGUGUAUUGACGGUACCUGACGAGGAAGCCACGGCUAACUACGUGCCAGCAGCCGCGGUAAUACGUAGGUGGCAAGCGUUGUCCGGAAUUAUUGGGCGUAAAGAGCAUGUAGGCGGGCUUUUAAGUCCGGCGUGAAAAUGCGGGGCUCAACCCCGUAUGGCGUUGGAAACUGGAAGUCUUGAGUGCAGGAGAGGAAAGGGGAAUUCCCAGUGUAGCGGUGAAAUGCGUAGAUAUUGGGAGGAACACCAGUGGCGAAGGCGCCUUUCUGGACUGUGUCUGACGCUCAGAUGCGAAAGCCAGGGUAGCAAACGGGAUUAGAUACCCUAGUAGUCC
rnacentral:rRNA from 1 species